rnacentral:rRNA from 1 species
GACGAACGCUGGCGGCGUGCCUAAUACAUGCAAGUCGAACGCAGUGGGGACGGGUGAGUAACACGUGGGUAACCUCCCAUCAGAGGGGAUAACACUUGGAAACAGGUGCUAAACCGAUACUGAUGGAUGGACCCGCGGUGCAUUAGCUAGUUGGUGAGGUAACGGCUCACCAAGGCCACGAUGCAUAGCCGACCGGAGAGGGUGAUCGGACACACUGGAACGGAGACACGGCCAAGACUCCUACGGGAGGCAGCAGUGGGGAAUAUUCGGCAAUGGACGAAAGUCUGACCGAGCAACGCCGCGUGGAUGAAGAAGGUUUUCGGAUCGUAAAACACUGUUGGUGGGGAAGCGGUAUCUAAAGAGAAAGCCACGGCUAACUACGUGCCAGCAGCCGCGGUAAUAC